CACCACCAAGAGAGAAAAUGCAACAAAGAAUGGAACCUAGUUUGAAUCAACCACCACUCAAAUACCUACACGUGUUUUAUAUUUUUUUUAAAUAUAUUCCCAUGACCUGUAAAAGAAGCCACACAUUUAUACCUUUAGGUCGAUGUUAUGGCAUCAACACCACUUAUUUUUAUCUCUCAAACCUAUCUAUCAUUUUCUCCACCCCUUCUUUAUAUAAAC
rnacentral:lncRNA from 1 species